AUAAGUGGUAUCACAUGGCAUUUGUCUUUCUCUUUCUGGAUGACUUCACUUAGGAUGAUGAUCUCCAGGUCCAUCCAUGUUGCUCCAAACGGCAUUAUUUUAUUCUUUUUUAUGGCCGAGCAGUAUCCCACUGUAUAAAUAAACACAACCUCUUUAUCCAGUCAUCUGUCAACGGACACUUAGAUUGUUUCCAUGUCUUGGCUACUAUAAAU